AAAGAUGAUCUGACAUAAAUUUUGUUCUUCAAUCACUGGCAGUUGGGAACUAUACUGAAUCCUCUGCAGAAACAAUUGAUCGAAAACUGAUAUAUCAUCAGAAGAUGAUUUGACAUAAAUUGUCUUCUUCAAUCACUACAUAUCAUAAACUAAAUAAAAUUAAUUAUGCGCGUUAUAAGUUAUCAAAAUAAAAGCAGUAAUUUAUCAGACAAAUUCAUGCAAACAAAUUGUUAAAGAAAUAAUUCAAAAAGAAAUACUGACAAAAAUUGGAGAGAAAAAAAAGAAAGAAAAAAAAUACCAUUAUACUUUGUCUGUCCCUCCCUUAUUGUCUUUGAUUUUUUCUGUUUACUAUUAUACUUUUUAUGAAUUAUGAAUUUAUGAUAUACGAUGUCUUGUUGUGGUAUGCAGUUACCAUUUAGUAAAACUGUAAUUCACAAUAACAUUUGGCAACCAUUUUGUAUUAUUUUUUAUUUGGUAAUUAAUUUUUUUUUUGUAUUUUUUUUUAAUUUUAAUAAUUGAUAGUAAUUGUAACAAUUGACAAAGGAUAAAAUAGGAAGAAAAAAUGCUAACCCAUUUUCGCCUAUUCCCUUUAUAUAUACUAGCGUUCAGACAGGCAUUCCCGUGCCCGUCUGCCCGCUUUUUUUAAUGCGCACAAUAGAGAAAAAUAAAUGUUUGUUUUUCUUUUUAUGAGGUUUCUAUUGUACGUCGCAUUAAAAAUAAUAUUAUUACACUUUGAAAAUAAUAAACAAAGAUAUUCAAAAUUAUAUUGAAACAUGCAAAGUAUUAUUGAUAUUAUGUAAUCAAUGGCGUUCUUUAAGAGGAAUGUUGAACAUGAAAUCUGUAUUCGAAGUAUUUUCUUUUUUCCUGCAAUUGUUUUUUAUAGUAAAGAAAAAAUAUAAGACUCUUAAAUUAGAAUUUUUUUAGAUAAAAAGAUAGUAAAAUUAAUAGUAAGUAGUGUAAUAUAGUAUUUUUUACCUUGUAAAGAUUCGAAUCAAUUCUUCAUACAUCCCUUUGUCAAUGCGCUCUUG
rnacentral:lncRNA from 1 species